rnacentral:misc_RNA from 1 species
GUUGGUGAACCAGCGGAGGGAUCAUUAAAAGAAGCCGAAAGGCUACUUACAACCAUCGCGAACUCGUCCAAGUUGCUUCGGCGGAGCGGAGGCCCUUCACCGGGCCGCCGCGGCCCUCGCCCCCGGGAGACCGUGGGGCGCGGGGCGCCCGCCGGAGGUACGAAACUCUCAUGUCUUACAGUGGAAUCUCUGAGUACAAAACAAAUAAGUUAAAACUUUCAACAACGGAUCUCUUGGUUCUG